rnacentral:ncRNA from 1 species
UACUCUGGAGAGUCUCCCGUCAGGGAGCGCCGAAGGUGUACGGGCCAAGCGUCGGGCGCGGCCCAAUCUCUCAGGCAAAAGGACAGAGCGCA